rnacentral:rRNA from 1 species
UACGGAGGGUGCGAGCGUUGUCCGGAAUCACUGGGCGUAAAGGGCGCGUAGGUGGCGCAGGAAGUCAACGGUGAAAGUUCGGGGCUCAACCCUGAAUCGGCCGUCGAUACUCCUGGGCUCGAGCACUGUAGAGGCAGAUGGAAUUCCGGGUGUAGCGGUGGAAUGCGUAGAGAUCCGGAAGAACACCGGUGGCGAAGGCGGUCUGCUGGGCAGUUGC